rnacentral:rRNA from 1 species
GAUGAACGCUGGCGGCGUGCCUAAUACAUGCAAGUCGAGCGAACAGACGAGGAGCUUGCUCCUCUGACGUUAGCGGCGGACGGGUGAGUAACACGUGGAUAACCUACCUAUAAGACUGGGAUAACUUCGGGAAACCGGAGCUAAUACCGGAUAAUAUAUUGAACCGCAUGGUUCAAUAGUGAAAGACGGUUUUGCUGUCACUUAUAGAUGGAUCCGCGCCGCAUUAGCUAGUUGGUAAGGUAACGGCUUACCAAGGCGACGAUGCGUAGCCGACCUGAGAGGGUGAUCGGCCACACUGGAACUGAAACACGGUCCAGACUCCUACGGGAGGCAGCAGUAGGGAAUCUUCCGCAAAGGGCGAAAGCCUGACGGAGCAACGCCGCGUGAGUGAUGAAGGUCUUCGGAUCGUAAAACUCUGUUAUUAGGGAAGAACAAAUGUGUAAGUAACUAUGCACGUCUUGACGGUACCUAAUCAGAAAGCCACGGCUAACUACGUG